AGUGAUGGUCAUAUUUUAUGGUCUUUCAGAUAUUCUCCAUAUUGAUAGCUUUUAUGGCAAAUGUUUACAAGUUAUGUUUGACGAAAUGUAAGUAUUUAACAGGGACGACCUUGAAACGACUUUGAGCGGAAGAAUCCUUGAACAAGUGUGCUCACCGGACGAUACUGAAUCUGUAACGCGUGUUUACAUUUGCAUAUUAAUGAGCUUCCAAACCGGAUAUUUUUAGGUUCUACUUUAAUUAUAUUGGCUGGUGUCACGCGAACAUGAUGUUUUGGAAGCAAUGUUUCUUUCAAUCUGAUAAUUCCUCCCGGCGUUAUCUCAUGAAUUACGCAUCUCUAUUUAAAAAUUUACAUCACUCCAUAAUCUCCAUUAUACAGCGUUUUUUCUCAUCAAACAUGUCACAACAUUUCUAUUAUUAUUAUAACAAACAAUAUUUACGUAUUAAUAUCUUAUCAAGCAGUAAGAUCCUCACGGUUACAUAAUCUAACAUAAUACAUUUUGUCAGUCAGAAAGUCUAUCAGUCCUACAGGGUUUGACAUUAUACAUGGUAUAGUUGGACGGAAGGCAAAAAUAAGUCAAUAUAUACAUUAAAAAUACAUACUCUUUAAAUACUGCAUUUCAAACAAAUUUUGCAUAUUUAUAAAAAGUUAACGUCAAAUAAACUCAACAAAUUAGUAGGCUUCGAUUAAAAUAAACAAUCCUAAAUAUACCAAUUUUUGCGUUACAUUUUAAACAAAACCGAAGAAAGGUUACACCCAUCGCUGACUUCACGCACACGACUUUCGCCCAUCAGACGAGCAUCGAAAGGGACCGCUGGUGGAGGGAACGCGAAAAGUACGAUUGGUGGGGGGAAGAAAAACGACUCCCAAGACAAGGACGUAACGAUAGGGAGGAAGUGAGAAAGACAGAAAAAAACGACAUCCAUUGAGAAUUACGGUAUUCGUCGAGUAGUGAGUAGAGGAACGGACAGAGUGUUGGAGGGGCUCAUUAGAAACUCGAGGCAGUACGGCGCGGCGGCGCGCGCGUAAUAUUAUUUCCUCGUGGAACGCAGGGGCUAAGGCUGAUCAAAUGCCGGGUACCGUUCGGGAAAGGAUCGAAGUCCGCUCCAAUUUCACGUGCAACGACGCCAGCGCCCCGUUAUGAUCGCUUCGCUUCCAACAGAGAGAAACUUGUUCCGACCGCGGAGGGAAAAGGAAAAUCUCCACCGGUCUUUACGCUCCCUUAUGCAUACAUACGUACGCAAGCGCGCGCGCGCGCGGUUUUCCAGCUGUCCGUCGAGCGACCUUUGCAAACGACCAGUUCUCCUCCGCGAGGAAUUCUGACCUCGUAACGGAAUGACUCUACGUACAAGCUAUUAGACACGGGAAUACGGGGACGUAAGAUAUCGUCACAAGGGGAAAGCUAUUGCGGGACGGAUAUCAAAGUGGACUCUACUGUGGGAUGCAAGAAUGGAAUUGUAUUACUAUACUUCUAAAAUUGAUCAAGCUGUGGUAAAUUUUAUGAAUCAUUGACAUUAAUGCAUAAUUUAAUAUUUGUCAAACACUUGGCUAGGUGUGAUGUCAACAAGAUUAACUAUGAACAAUAAAGGUUCAUAAGACGCAAAUACAGAUGUGAUAACGUCUUCCAGUGGGUGGAAUAGCGAUGCUGAUUGUUGAAAUUUGAAAUUCGUGAAACGAAAAUACCGCCAUUAUUUUCUAUUGCAGAAUUCAUGUUCGAAGUAACAAAAUGGAAUAAAAAGAUAAAAA
rnacentral:lncRNA from 1 species